rnacentral:rRNA from 1 species
UACAGAGGGUGCAAGCGUUGUUCGGAAUCACUGGGCGUAAAGCGCGUGUAGGCGGUCCGGUAAGUCCGCUGUGAAAGUCGGGGGCUCAACCCUCGAAUGCCGGUGGAUACUGUCGGGCUAGAGUGCGGAAGAGGCGAGUGGAAUUCCUGGUGUAGCGGUGAAAUGCGCAGAUAUCAGGAGGAACACCAAUUGCGAAGGCAGCUCGCUGGGACGUUACUGACGCUGAGACGCGAAAGCGUGGGGAGCAAACAGG